UACGGAGGGUGCGAGCGUUGUCCGGAAUCACUGGGCGUAAAGGGCGCGUAGGCGGCCUGAUAAGUAGGGGGUGAAAUCCUGCGGCUUAACCGCAGGGCUGCCUUCUAAACUGUCAGGCUGGAGCACAGUAGAGGCAGGUGGAAUUACCGGUGUAGCGGUGAAAUGCGUAGAUAUCGGUAGGAACACCAGUGGCGAAGGCGGUCUCCUGGGGCAUUCUUGACGCUGAGGCGCGAAAGCUGGGGGAGCAAACGGG
rnacentral:rRNA from 1 species